GUAACACGUAGAUAAUCUAUCCUAUACUGGGGGAUAGCCCGAUGAAAGUUGGAUUAAUACCGCAUAUAGCUAUAUAGUUGCAUGAUUAUGUAGUGAAAGAUUUAUUGGUAUAGGAGGAGUCUGCGGCACAUUAGCUAGUAGGUGAGGUAAAGGCUUACCUAGGCGACGAUGUGUAGCCGGUCUGAGAGGAUGAACGGCCACAAUGGAACUGAGACACGGUCCAUACUCCUACGGGAGGCAGCAGUGGGGAAUAUUGCACAAUGGGGGAAACCCUGAUGCAGCAACGCCGCGUGAGUGAAGAAGGUUUUCGGAUUGUAAAGCUCUGUUAGCAGGGAAGAGGAAGGACGGUACCUGCAGAGGAAGCCACGGCUAACUACGUGCCAGCAGCCGCGGUAAUACGUAGGUGGCAAGCGUUGUUCGGAAUAACUGGGCGUAAAGGAUGCGUAGGCGGUUAAACAAGUUAUAUGUUAAAUAUAUAGGCUUAACCUGUAGAAAGCAUAUAAAACUGUUUAACUAGAGUGCAGGAGAGGUAAGUGGAAUUCCUAGUGUAGCGGUGAAAUGCGUAGAGAUUAGGAAGAACACCAGUGGCGAAGGCGACUUACUGGACUGUAACUGACGCUGAGGCAUGAGAGCAUGGGGAGCAAACAGGAUUAGAUACCCUGGUAGUCCAUGCUGUAAACGAUGGGUACUAGGUGUGGGUUGUGAAUAACAAUUCGUGCCGUCGC
rnacentral:rRNA from 1 species